AUGAUUGUGAUUCUCCAAUCUUUGCUUCUUCGACAAAAAAAUUGGUGUUAUCUUCAAAAACAACACUUCCUAAGGAUUUGGUACAAGUUUUCUUUACUCCUCAAAUGGCUUCUCAGCUUCAUCAUUCAUUCGAAGCAGAGCAUAUACAACAUUCCGACACAAAUAAGCUUUUUAUUCAGUAAAAACUUAAGCAAGCAUUUACAAAUAAUUUGA